rnacentral:misc_RNA from 1 species
AUUUUGUAAACAUCCAUGAUUGUCUACGGUUUGUGAAAGAAGAUGUGUACAUGAAUUACGACCCCGUCCGUCCAAUUUUACGAUAUUCUGCGACUUCAACAAUUCACUAACGGGACCUUGUGUGUGUUCUCAUAGGUAACGUUAUCUAUAUCCCGUUUUUUAGCGAUUUAUCAAGGCUUCAUGGUACUACAGAAGUGAUUUUCGCGCGGUUCAAAAUGGCGCCAGUGACACUCCAGUCAUAACAGUGUUGCCCAUCGAUGCCAAAGUUAUUGUGUGCGAUGUACCAGAAACGUGGAUGUAAUUUAUUAUACAGCAGUUUGAACUUGUGUAUAUUUGCGUGUAAUGUGUGAAAAUAUCUGUGUCAACUUUUUCUAUUGUUUAUUUCAUAAUGUCAACAUUGAUAGUGGGCGAUUCGCAUGUGAAAAGACUCAAAACAUUCUUAGGUUCACGUCGUUCCGCUAAUUUUGUGUUUAAUAUAUAUGAACUCAAAGAGGUGAACUAUUUCGGUAUAAGUGGAGGACUUGUGAACAAUGGUCACCAUCUAUCCCUUAUUACAUCUGCAGUACGACGGUGUAGACCUCAGCACCUAAUUGUUUUCAUUGGAGGCAAUGAUUUGGACUCGAGUGAACUAGAUUUUAGUUUGGAAUGUAUUGUUUCUAAAUUGACUGCCAAUGUGACUCAACUUAAAAGGUGUUUCCAUUUAAAGUCUGUUACCGUGCUUAGUUUUCUCCCUAUAGAAAUGACUUAUUUAUAAUCAACGAGUCAAAAAAGCCACUAGACUUCUUAUGCAAUUUUGUGCUUGUCACACAGUAACAUUUUGGAAGCUGAGAGGAUUCGCGGAAAGUCAGAAACCAAUUUUAUGCGACGGGGUUCAUCUUAAUGACUUGGGGUUCCAUAAACUGUUUAGACAGAUUAGAGGUGUCCUAUUAAUUCAGCUAAGACAGGAACCCAAGCCUAGUCCUUCUGUAAACAGCAAUGACGACAGGGGCUUUUAGCUUUCAAAGCAUACAGAUCAAUCUGCAGAUACAUAUGGCAUCAACACCAAAACGCAGGAGGCGGAACAAGGCAGCCUCACAUCCUCCCACAGAAACCCAACCUCAAAGCGGUCUUACGUCUCAUGAGGACAGGGACACAAUAAUAAGGACGUGCAUGGCCUCUAUCAUUCCAACCAUUGAAGAUACUUUUCGACGAUAUAUGGAUGAAUAUCACCAUGGUGAGAGCAAUCCUUAAUCGUCAAUCCCCAUGCAGACUGCAACUUCACAACAGCAAUCAGCCGACACUCAACAAGCCUCUUCGCAAGCAGUAACACCUGACCAUUCCCUACUGCAAGAGAUAACUUCUCAAGAUGAGAUGAAGUCCAUGUUAGAGAAAUCUAACUGGGACCACCAAGACACAGCUCUGUCCAUUCACGGUCCAAUGACUCUAGACAUCCAAUCCAGCUUUAAACUGAAGGAGGGACAAGUGUUUCUUAAAUCUCGGGUCAGCACACAGAAGGACUGUGCACAGAUUAAGAAACACAGACCGUUGAGUAGAGACGGAGUGUACACAAUUUACCCAACCCCAGGAACAAACAAGACCGUGUUCUGUGACAUGACCACUGACGGUGGGGGAUGGACGGAAACACCGCCAUACACGCACUUACAAAAGAUAAAAAUCAAAUUCUUAGAAUUGAUAUGAUGAAAUUUUCUGGAGAGAAAGGCCAUGCCACAUAUUCAUCAUUUUUUGUGGAUAACGAAGCCAACAAGUACAAACUGACGCUUGGAAGUUUCAACGGAUCCAGGGGUUUAGGAGAUAGUUUAAGCACCUCCAACAACACUUACUUCAGUGCAAAGGAUAGGGAUAAUGACAACAACGGUGAUCGCCAUUGUGUACAAACAUACAAAUCACCGGGGUGGAUGAAUAGGUGCUUUCAUACCAAUUUGAAUGGUGUGUACAAAAAAACAUCUCGUAAAGAUUACACGGAAUUACACUGGCAAAGAUGGGGAGAAUGGUGCCGCUUAAGUCGGCAAAAAUGAUGAUACGACCCAAGAAAACCAAUUAAUUGAUAUAGCAAAAACAACAAACCGAUCAAAAUGAAAUUGUUGUUUAUUUUCUCGUGAUUGAAACUAGUAAAGAGAAAUAAAGACAGGUAUUU